rnacentral:tRNA from 2 species
GGGAAGAUCUUCAAUGUUGGUAUUUGAAGCUGACCUGUAAAUUCAGUGAUAUUUUUAUCUUCAUACGUUCGAUUCGUAUUCUUCUCA